GACGAAGGGGGCGAGCGUUAUUCGGAAUUACUGGGCGUAAAGAGCAUGUAGGUGGUUGUAUAAGUCGAUUGUUAAAGAUCACGGCUUAACCGUGAAAAAGCGGUUGAAACUGUACGACUAGAGGGCAGGAGAGAGAAGCGGAAUUCUCGGGAGUAGCGAUAAAUGCGUAGAUCUCGAGAGGAACACCGAUGGCGAAGGCAGCUUCUUGGUCUGCAACUGACACUAAAGUGCGAAAGCGUGGGGAGCAAACAGG
rnacentral:rRNA from 1 species